UCCCCGUUAUCCUGGGCAGUCCCUCUAGAGUGCCCGGCAUUACCCGCUGGCAACAUAGGACAAGGGUUGCGCUCGUUGCGGGACUUAACCCAACAUCUCACGACACGAGCCGACGACAGCCAUGCACCACCUAUCGCAGGCCCCGAAGGACACCGUAUCUCUACGGCUUUUCCUGCGUAGUUCAACCCAGGUAAGGUUCUUCGCGUUGCCUCGAAUUAAGCCACAUGCUCCACCGCUUGUGCGGGCCCCCGUCAAUUCCUUUGAGUUUUAGCCUUGCGGCCGUACUCCCCAGGCGGGGUGCUUAAUGCGUUAGCUUCGGCACGGAAGGAGUCGACACCUCCCACACCUAGCACCCAUCGUUUACGGCGUGGACUAC
rnacentral:misc_RNA from 1 species